GGUGGGUGCGCCCCCGGAUUCCAGCCCGGUCUUGAAAACCGUCGUGGUGGCGACAUCACCGUGGGUUCAAAUCCCACACCCUCCGC
rnacentral:tRNA from 1 species